rnacentral:lncRNA from 1 species
CUUCUAAUGUGACCACGGGAUCCUGGAGGCUUAAUGAAAAGGAGCCUGGUCUGUCCUAGUCCUCAUACCCUUCAGCUCUUGCCAGCCCAAUCAGAUCAGUAUCUGGUUCCUCUAACGUGCGGCAGCCCUUGGCCAAUGACUUCUUUAUAUCACAGCAUUUACCACUCUCUUUAUUACCUUCUGGACAUUCAUCCUUCCCGUGUCCUUUCUUUUUGCAUCCCGCACAUUAAUCUCUUUCUAGCCUUGUCUGGCUCUUGAAUCUCUGCCUAACUUGACCGCUUCCACAUCCACAUUUGCGUCCACGUCCUCUCACAUUGCUAAUCUCUCUAUAAAGACUGCUGCCAACAGAUUGGCCUUUUUCUUAAGCCUUCAAUCUGCUUCCUUUUUCCUUCCUGAGUUCUCCUGUUCCUAAGGCCAGCGGGCCAGGCAAUGACACCGGCCCCGCCCCCACGCACACACUGCCGUAGGUCUCUCCUGUUUCUUUCGGAUUUCUGUUUUUACUUUCUUCUUUCCCUUCUCACAUUUACUCUUUUGGGCUGGGUGGGGUCUGCACAACCGUAGUCCCCCUGGGCCAUCAUUGGCCCAGAGGCUUGGGAGAUGCCUGCCGCAAAAUGUCAGAAUUAUGCCCUUCCAUCUCCUUUGCUCUUCUCCCGGUGCUGGUCCCCCCCUCCCCCCUCUUUUUCCAGAUAGAGCCGGGCUGGGGAAAGGGGCUUAACCCUUGGCGUGCCUAGCUGCCUGGCACCACACUUGUUGCUUUUGCUCUUUUCUGUUUUGUUCUCUGGUCCUGAUUAACGUACACUGAGUGGCAUUCAUGCCUGCAGCUUCUGCUUGAUGUUACCCUGGGCUUGCCCUUCCAAUGCUGUGUUUACCAUGUGCUGAUUUUCAGCAGCCUCAGGGUGAAAUGGGGUGUAAAACCAGAAUACUUCACAAAGUCUCUGUAAUACUUCACAAAGCCACUGACUUAGGCUCUCAUCACCUCCCUGAAGCACUUUUGAAAUCUUCCCUAUAUUAAUUGCUUUCUAUCAGCUCUUAUCCCUUGCAAAAGCGACCUUUUGGUACCUCUGCAAACGCUGAAGUUGUGUUGCAUCCACCAGGUCCCAGUUGGGAUCUUGGUCUGGGAACUGACUCUGAGCACGUACCUGAGCAUUCACUGCAUCUUCUGGUGCAUUGGCUUCUAGCCAGCAGAGAGCUGCCUAUGUUACUCUCCUGCACUCCUCAGUGUUAAAUAAUGUGAGGAGGAGCUGCCUGCAGUCUGGCCCGGUUGGAUUGCAUGUCAGAAAGAUGGAUUGCAUCAGAUCUAAGAAGAGAUUAGGAUGUAGACACACAUGAGGAAAAACCAUGUGAAGACAAAGGGAGAAGAUGGCCAUCUAGAAGCCAAAGAGAGAGGCCUGAGAAGAAAUCAACCCUGAAAACACCCUGAUUCUGAACUUCUAUCUUCCAGAACUGUGAGAAAAUAAAUGUAUGUUGUUUAAGCUACUCAGAUUAUGGUGCUGUGUUAUGGUAACCUGCUAUGGUUUGAAUGUGUCUCCUAAACUUUAUUUGUUGGAACCUAAAUCCCCAAAUUCAUAUGUUUAUGGCAUUUGGAGGUGAGGCAUUGAGAGAAAAUUAGGAUGAGAUAAAGUCAUCAAGUUAUGCCUCCAUUAUGGGACUGGUGGCUUUAUAAAGAGAAGAAAAAAGACCUGAGCUGACAUACUGUUGCCCCCCUGACAGGUAAUCCCCUCUAUCUUUUUAUGAUGCAAUAAGAAGGCCCUCGCCAGAUGUGGCCCCUCAAGCGUGGACUUCCCAGCCUCCAGAACUGGAAGAAAUAAAUUUCUUUUUAAAAUAAAUUACUAGUCUGUGGUAUUCUGUUAAUAGCAAUAGAAAAUGGAUUAAGACAGAGCUUUAGUUGGGCCAGGCAUGGUGGCUCACCCCUGUAAUCCCAGCACUUCGGGAGGCC